GACAGAGGGUGCAAACGUUGUUCGGAAUUACUGGGCGUAAAGCGAGUGUAGGCGGUUUUGUAAGUCUGACGUGAAAUCCCCGGGCUUAACCUGGGAACUGCAUUGGUGACUGCAUUGCUGGAGUAUGGCAGAGGGGGGUGGAAUUCCACGUGUAGCAGGUGGAAAUGCGUAGAGAUGUGGAAGGAACACCGAUGGCGAAGGCAGCCCCCUGGGCCAAUACUGACGCCUCAUGCACGAAAGCGUGGGGAGCAAACAG
rnacentral:rRNA from 1 species